rnacentral:lncRNA from 1 species
UGUUUUCCUUCAUAAAUAUGGUGUUAUUGUCUAAGAAAAAUAUACCAGAAAAAGGAAAAGCUUGCUCUGAGGCUGUUAUUGUCUUACCAUAGUAGGUGGUUAAACAUUGAGAACACCACACCACACACACGAGAAUUUACACAUGGAGCGUACACAAAGUACACACAUACACACCCAUCACUCGCUAGCAUGCAGUGAGCAGACCGGGAUAAGAAAAGAAAGUUACAAGCACUAGUAGACAGUAGUACGAAGCUCAAGACAAACCACAUGCAGCCUCGGACGGCAACGUACGCUAUGCAGGAUUAGAUAACCAAAAGAGCAGCAAACAUGGCGGCGUCGCAGAAGUUGUUGAGCACCCUCUCUUCUUCUUCGGCCGACGGCUCUUAUUUAGCGGUGGUUGCUCCUGGUCCUGGUCUCGUCGCUGUAAAGCCUGGACAUGGAACGUACGUGGCAGCGUUAUUUUUUUCCCCAUGUUUUAACUAUUUGCCAUGUUCACCCGUUUCAAGUUCCCAGUAGAUCGUGUUAUUAACACUGAUAUUAUAUUGUGAGAUAGAUCAUGAGCCAGCGUACCAGUCGUAGACGGUGGGGGAGUUGGGCUGCGGGCGGUCGAAGAGGUUGGCGCCGAGGCUUUUGGUGGCCAGGUUGCUCCCGGGGUGGAAAACGCUCCGCCACACGCUGCCGCCGCGCGGGGGCGUCGACGACGACGGCGUCACCGGCGUGGUCGGGGUCGUCGGCAUCGACGGCGACUGCUUAAUCGCCUCCCCUGCAGCUGCACCUCCACCAACACCCAUGUAAACCACCAUCAGUUCACACAAUGAACCCAAUAGAUCCUCCGCUUAAACAUCAAAUCUUCUUCUGAAAACCACUGGUGCUAGACUGACCGCUAGUUCUUACGUUCUUCCAGUUUCAGGCCAUGUCGGUACCUCUGUGCUAACGUAUGUAAACUGUACCUG